UAUACCUACGGGAGGCAGCAGUAGGGAAUUUUCGUCAAUGGGCGCAAGCCUGAACGAGCAAUGCCGCGUGAACGAGGAAGGUCUUCGGAUCGUAAAGUUCUGUUGAAGGGGAAAAAGAGCGGAGAGAGGAAAUGGUCUCCGAUUGAUAUUACCCUUCGAGGAAGUCACGGAUAACUACGUGCCAGCAGCCGCGGUAAUACGUAGGUGGCGAGCGUUAUCCAGAAUGAUUGGGCGUAAAGGGUGCGUAGGCGGCCUGCUAAGUCUGGAGUGGAAGGUACCGGCUCAACCGGGACAGGAUCUGGAAA
rnacentral:rRNA from 1 species